CUGGCUCGGCGGAUCCCUGUCAGUCACUUUGCUCUCGUACUAAGUGUACUUUUGUGCCAUUUAAGCAGCCGAUGGUGUCAUUGGCGUUGAGAGUGCAGCUUCUACAGCUCACACUGAAGGCUUUGGGGACCCAGGAGGGCGCGAGUUGUUUUAAGAUACAUGGCCAUUUGACAUACCCGUGUUAAGUUCAAUCUUGCUACAAAAGAAGGCCAUUUGUACUUCCUGACCCUGAAAGCAAGGU
rnacentral:lncRNA from 1 species